AUGGUAGAGAGAAACAGUGAGCCCAAGGCCAGUUGCCUGAAAAUACUUAAGCUUACCAGCAGGAUGGUCAUAUCAAUGAUGAAAUGCAGAGGUAGCAGAUACCAGAAACCAGAUUCUGAGAGCUUGGUGGAAGCACUGUUGAAGGCUUGUAGCAGAAACAUGUAUUUUAUUGACAGAUCCAUGGAUUUCGCAAGAGGUGACAACGCAGUGAAGCCAAGGAAGCCUGGCAGGAUUCUUGCGUCCUUCGUCACAGAAGCAAUGGAGCUUGUUCGCGACUAUGGGGAGCCGGAAGCCAUGUCGCUGUCUACCAUAGUCGGUGCGGAGCUCUCAUCAAAUUAA
rnacentral:rRNA from 1 species